rnacentral:rRNA from 1 species
GACGAACGCUGGCGGCGUGCUUAACACAUGCAAGUCGAACGGAAAGGCCCUGCUUUUGUGGGGUGCUCGAGUGGCGAACGGGUGAGUAACACGUGAGUAACCUGCCCUUGACUUUGGGAUAACUUCAGGAAACUGGGGCUAAUACCGGAUAGGAGCUCCUGCUGCAUGGUGGGGGUUGGAAAGUUUCGGCGGUUGGGGAUGGACUCGCGGCUUAUCAGCUUGUUGGUGGGGUAGUGGCUUACCAAGGCUUUGACGGGUAGCCGGCCUGAGAGGGUGACCGGCCACAUUGGUACUGAGAUACGGCCCAGACUCCUACGGGAGGCAGCAGUAUGGAAUAUUGCACAAGGGACGGAAGCCUGAUGCAGUAGCGCCGCGUGCGGGAUGACGGCCUUCGGGUUGUAAACCGCUUUCGCCUGUGACGAAGCGUGAGUGACGGUAAUGGGUAAAGAAGCACCGGCUAACUACGUG